UACGUAGGGUGCAAGCGUUGCCCGGAAUUAUUGGGCGUAAAGAGCUUGUAGGCGGUUUGUCGCGUCUGCUGUGAAAUUUCGGGGCUCAACCCCGAACUUGCAGUGGGUACGGGCAGACUAGAGUGUGGUAGGGGGAGACUGGAAUUCCUGGUGUAGCGGUGAAAUGCGUAGAUAUCGGGAGGAACACCAGUGGCGAAGGCGACUACCUGGCCUGUUCUUGACGCUGAGGCGCGAAAGCUAGGGGAGCAAACGGG
rnacentral:rRNA from 1 species